GCGGAGUGAGUCGGGGUUGGGUCGGCGAGAGCGACCGGGUGGGUGUUUGUCCCCCUCACCCGGUUGCGCGGCCUCGGAAUGUCCCCGGUUGCGCGGCUGCAGUGUCCCCGAGCUGUGGUGGGGGAGUCCGUGUGGUGACGGCCGUCGCCCGCCGAGGACGCUGAAGGUGAAGGGGGUGGCAGCCGAGCUGGAAAGUCCGAACAACUUGGGAGACUCACUGAAGAGCAAGUGGAUCAAUCACAAAGAAUGCUGUGCCACAGACCGGUCUGGUUUUCCCCAUCCUCAUAACAAGAAUAAGACUUCCCCAGCGGUGCAGAUGUGGAUGGUCAAGCUCAUGAUGAACUGAAGCAUUUGAGUGCCUCAGAGGAAGUGAUGAUGAUGAUGUGCUGUGUGUCCAUUUUCACGAUCUACUUGCCACUUCUAACACAGGAGUUGAGAAUUGUCACUGGAAGAUUGUUCCUGAACUUGAUCAACUAAAGGAUUAAGAUCAUUUCCUGGCAUUCAAGGAGAAACUGGUCCUCUUGCUUGCUCUUAAGCUGCAAGAUGUGGCUUGGCUUCUCUUCCAGCAAGCAAAAACCUGUCCUUCACUUCCAUGGAGCUGAACGAACAAAGAUCUCUCGACUUCCUGUUUCAACCAUCUCGCCUGAAUUUUGAUCCACCAGUUGAAUUCUCCCCCAGAAGUACCCCACUGUUUUAUCAAAACUCAAAAGCAGAGUAACAGCAAUCAGCAUUUCUUCACCUGAAGAAAUGUCUUCUGUGCCAGCUCUUCAUCCAGCUUUCUGCAUUCUAGUUUAAAAUGGUAAAUACUUGUAAUCAGAUGCGGGUGGAAGCUGGUGUUCUUCACUGAUAUCUCCUUCUUCAUUUUAGGAAGGUUAAGUACUUCACUGUGUCAUAUUGGAGUUCCUAGCAGAUAAAGUGUCUUCAUGCAUUGCUAUGUCAAACUGUCUUGACGUGUGUCAAAAGUUGCAGCAGGAAAACCAGAACAUAUUUUCUUGCUCAGGCAUGAGGAGGAAGCUUAGCAAACAACUUCCCAUACAGGUAUUUUCAAGUCAAAGACCCAGGCUUGACUCUCUGGAUAGGUAUCUUGGUGUCAACUCACAUAAAGCAGCUAAUGCCCAGGAACAAAUGCAGAAUCACCUUGUCUAUAGUGUGUAAAUGCAUCACCCCAGUCUGUGAUCAAAGUGUAUAUUUGCAUGUGUAAACCUAUGUAAGUGCUGGAGAUGAAGAGCUUUCACCAGAAGGAGAAAUUACUCUGCACCAUUUCAUUUUUAGUGAAGAAAAAUGAAGCUUUAGAGGCCUCUGGGGUAAUGGGAUAAUGAUUAGGUUUAUGUUAAAUCAUUCCCUUCCUCUGGCUUUUUAUGAAUCCUUAGCAGCAAAAGGAACAAAAACCUUCUGCAGUAGGAGAUGAGGCAGAACUUCUUUCUUUAAUAAAAGAAAUUAUAUUCUGGUGGGAUGGAAGAGCCCAGACAUGCAAAGUUGCAGUUUACCCACUCAGUUUCCUUGGCACACCUUUCCAUACUGCUGAUGGAAUCAGCUUUUUGAUUCUUUUGUGACUGAGAACUGAGAUGACCUGUGUGUUUCCAUCACCUAAGCAGGCCCAAGAGAGUGGACUGUUAGCCACAUAAGAAGGGCGAGUUGAGACAGAGCAGAAAUACUGAAGAUGAGCCUUCUUCUGGUUCCUCUUCCUUCCCUUACCAAGAUGCAAUCUGUUGUUCUUAUGUUUACACAAGGUCCUUUGUCUCCAUCAUCUGUGACUAUAUAGGAUGUUUCCUGUCGUUCUGAGGUGGGAGUGUAUUUUGUUUAGGUGCUCCCUGCUAUGGCAUUGUAUAUGGCAAGUAAGAUUUCUUGGCAGAAAAAAAACCCCCAGAGCUGGGAUACAUGUUCUGUUCCACUUUGAAUCUGGAGCUCUUCUUAGUGCACCUUAUUCCAAGCUUGUGAUCUGGGAAAUGUGACUCACUAGCUUAAAAGAAUAUUUUCAAAUCUGGUAUCAAGUAAAGGGAUAUAGGUUCUCUUAAUGGGUUUGGGGAGAUAGUAGCAUGGUUUGGGGAGUGGUUUUAGAUUGCUUGUUUUGUUCUGUUUUUCUUUUCCUUUUAGAGACUGCUGGAGAGAGCCAGGCAGCCUGAAAAUGGCUGAAAAAGAUAACAGUUGAAAUCCUUCUUAAAUCCUAAUGGCAUAUUGCAAGGGCAGCAUUCUGCUAUUUAAAAUGUGGUGACCUUUUAUGGGACCAAGUUCCAUAGCAGAGAAAGGACAAGGGUUGGUGGUGAUCCUAAUCCUCACAGUUAAGUCUGUGUUUAGGCUUUCAUUGCAACAGUAAGAUUUAAUGACAGCUUUACCCAAUUUUUUGUUUCCACAAGAAAAGAUCAGAUGUGUAAGCUAAAGAGUGGUGGGCAAGACACUGCCUAUCAAAACAAUGCCAGCUGUCAUGAGCAGAGAGGUCCACUGAAAUUGUGUGUGAUAAGAGCGGCAUUGCUCUUGAUGAGGCAACCACCAGCUUGGCCUGACUUCUUUUAAGAACAUGAGAGUUCUUUGCUGAAUGUGGUCUGAAUUUUCUGGCAUUGCAGGCAGCUGGGAAAAGCACACUUCCUUUUAGGGCCUCCUUAUGUGGAAACCAAUGGCAUUUAAUAUGGAUGUCUGUGGGAGCAGGAUCCAUCUCUGUGAUGGAAAAUACCGGCAGUGUCAUAGGCUUGUAUGUGGUGGGGAGAUAUCUGGUAUAAGAAGCAUCUGAUUUUAGAUCUGGAAGUUUCCUUUUCUUCCUUCUGCCCAGACUUCUUCUGGAAGUUAAGGCUAGCAGUUGUUUCUUGCAUAGCUUGAUGUCAAGAGUACUCGGGGGACAGAAAGGUGGUUUUGGCUUCUGUGAACAUGUGAAAAAGUUAAGCAUUUGUCUGACUAGAGAGCAGACACUUUAAGGUCUUUGAUCUCUUUUUCCAUAGGAGUAAUCCUCAGCAUUUUCUAAUCCUGCAUUGUAACACAAACAAACAUAGGAUUGCUGAUUUUUUUUCCAUUUCCUUUUUUUUCACUCCUGUCCAUGACAAAGUAACCACACUUAGUUUUCAGGUCUAAUUUUAGAACAUAGUAUUUUUAGCAGUGCUAAGGAUCUAGUCACAUAGUGCAUGCCCAGAAGACACC